GGUCCUGUCUUCCCUGUGGCCGUGGGUGGGACGUGGUGGACGGAAGCCCUGUGCUGGGUAUGGGGCCAGCCCUGUGGCACCCCUGUCUGUGAGGGCACCCCGUGGUGUGGGGGCUCAAAAAGGGGACUGCCUGGCCUUGUGUUUUCUGGGGGUCAGUGCUAUGAAGGGAUGGGGGGAGAAACGAACAAGAGGCCCAGAGCUUGUUGAAGGGCAGCCUGUACAUCACAGUUAAUGCGAGGCUCUUUCCAAAACAAAGGCUCUCUAUGGCUUUCAACAUAUUUACACAACAGUGCACAGAAAGAGCAGCGAAGUGCCAUCUAAAGGAUUCCCUCCCCACCUCCAACCUCUUUGCCUUCCCUCACACAGUACAUCUUCAGCACCCUCUCCUUCUCCUCAGACCUUUUUUUUGCUACAAAUUCGUAUUUUUCUCUCCUGACACAUGCUUUACCUUUGAGGGACUUCCCAAGGCUUUGCUGUGAGGCAUUCACAGGUGUGGUGCCCCAUACGCUCCCAGUUGAGGACACUCAAUGGAGAAGCUCAUGAAUACGGGAGUUCUAACACACUUCCAAGGUCUUCCAGCUAGGGCUCCUUUUUCACCUGUACACCCCAUAGCCCCAGAGGCUCCCAUUACACUCCAGGACCCUGAUAAUGACUGCAAACAGCCAGGAGAAAACUGAACAACUCCAGUGAGAGUGUAACUGCCUUCAAAGCUAGCAGUGCCAGCAUGAAAGACUGUUUUCAGUAUGAACAGCCUUUCCACCAUCACAUGCCUCACGCAGGUGCACAUCUUUUGCAAAGGCCCAGGGGACUGAAACAGCUCUGCAAGGCCUUAAGAGAAGGGAAAUUGUUAUCAGAGUCUCCUGUUGACUCCACAGCCCACCAAGGAGGCUGCUGGCUUCUGCAGGCCAUCCCCCAUCUGUUGGAAUAGCAGGAAGUUUUGCGUUAGCAAUAAAAAAUACAAAAAGCUGGAGUCCAACUGGUGACUGAAGUCUGGUGUCAGGCUCCGCUGCAGAGAUAUCACAGCUGUGUACAGUGCCUGCUCUCAAAGAGGUGCUUAUUAAACAUUUGCCUUGGGUUUAUUUUCCCCGUUUGCUAAAACCAAACAUUCACAACAAGAUUCUAUAAGGGAGGGCUGCAAAUCAGAA